UACGUAGGUGGCAAGCGUUGUCCGGAAUUAUUGGGCGUAAAGCGCGCGCAGGCGGUCCUUUAAGUCUGAUGUGAAAGCCCACGGCUCAACCGUGGAGGGUCAUUGGAAACGUGGGGACUUGAGUGCAGAAGAGGAAAGUGGAAUUCCACGUGUAGCGGUGAAAUGCGUAGAGAUGUGGAGGAACACCAGUGGCGAAGGCGACUUUCUGGGCUGUAACUGACGCUGAGGCGCGAAAGCGUGGGGAGCAAACAGG
rnacentral:rRNA from 1 species